UUACCAAUUUCUGAUUUUACCUCUAUGUUCUCUUGGACAGGAGAUUCAUACCUUGUCGCUGGUACGGAUGGUGUGGGCACCAAACUGAAACUUGCAUUUGAAACUGGUAUCCAUGAUACCAUUGGGAUUGAUUUGGUGGCCAUGAGUGUGAAUGACAUUGUAACCUCUGGAG